AACGCGAAAAACCUUACCUACCCUUGACAUGUAGCGAACUUUCCAGAGAUGGAUUGGUGCCUUCGGGAACGCUAACACAGGUGCUGCAUGGCUGUCGUCAGCUCGUGUCGUGAGAUGUUGGGUUAAGUCCCGCAACGAGCGCAACCCUUGUCAUUAGUUGCCAUCAUUAAGUUGGGCACUCUAAUGAGACUGCCGGUGACAAACCGGAGGAAGGUGGGGAUGACGUCAAGUCCUCAUGGCCCUUAUGGGUAGGGCUUCACACGUCAUACAAUGGUCGGUACAGAGGGUUGCCAAGCCGCGAGGUGGAGCCAAUCCCAGAAAACCGAUCGUAGUCCGGAUUGCACUCUGCAACUCGAGUGCAUGAAGUCGGAAUCGCUAGUAAUCGCGGAUCAGAAUGUCGCGGUGAAUACGUUCCCGGGUCUUGUACACACCGCCCGUCAAACCAUGGGAGUGGGUCUCACCAGAAGUAGUUAGCCUAACCGCAAGGAGGGCGAUUACCACGGUGGGAUCCAUGACUGGGGUUAAGUCGUAACAAGGUAGCCGUAUCGGAAG
rnacentral:rRNA from 1 species